ensembl:lncRNA CASC18 cancer susceptibility 18
UGUGUCCUCUCAAUGGCAUCUCCCGCUAUCAGCUAUCAAUAUGUGUUAGCAGAAUCUAAUAACGACCUAAUUGGCAACAGAGAUCUGAACAGAUGUCUCACUUAAUAAAAAGGCUUUGUGGCCAGCAAGCUGACCCCUUUUGGGCUUAGCUGGGCUUUGGUACUUUGUGUGUGACCCCUUUUGGCAGUUGUCAUUAAUCAGUCAGACAAACUGGUUGAUUGUUGAUUGCUGUGUGUACCAAGUCUGCGGGUCAAACCUGGACCCCUGGAGUGUACUUAGACCAGGUUCCCUGAACUCUGACCACGGCCUUGUCUUCUGUCAUCUCAUUUAAUACACGCACAGGCUAGACUCAAGGGCUUUAUUGGCAUCAAUUAUAAAUAGCUAUUGUAGCCAGAUUCUUCACCCACCCAUUCACCCUGUGAAUCCCUGGUGGAUUACUAUGGACCCUUCAUCGCAUAGAUUUAAAGUUAGUUAUCAAUGCUGACUGAGUGUGCACUCUCCUAGACACCAUGGGGAGAGGCAGAAGAGGAAACCAGAUAUGAUCCUUCUUCUUGGGACUCUCCUGACCUAGGAAAAGAGACAGAUGAAUGCAGAUAACUGAGUCUAUAUACAGAGACUGCCACAAGCUCACACUUUACUGAAUGUUCAGACCUAGUCAUACAUCCUAAGGGCAUUGUUGGAAGCUUCUGGAACUAAGUCUCUGGGGAUUUGAAUCAACUCAGAAGACUGACUCAUUCACUUGGCUGUGGAGGCUGUUCCAGAUAUUAGGAGCUAUGUAUGUGGAGCCCCGGAUUUGGGCCAAAAGAUGCAUUUGACUGGAGAGAAGGGAUUGAGAUUUGAGCAGUUGUUGGACAACACAGAAAUGAAACAGCCGUAGCAAACUUGCCUGCCGUGAUUUCUCUGCUGAGAUAAUGGGACUUUUCAGACUCCCUGUAACUGAGAUCUAGAUAAAAAGAGACGUCUGGAAAAAAACUGGUCCCAAUUGUCGCUUGGCUUUGCUUUCAUAACUAUCUGAGUGUGGCAUAUGUCAGACUUUGAAAUGCUGGGUCUCUUGGAAAUACAAAUACCAUCUGGGUCUGGAUAAUUCCCAGAAACCUAGGCUACUCAGUAGGAAAUGAGGAGCUGGAAACAUAAUACCGAGACCAGGGGCUUGUCCUUGGGCCACCCUGUCUCGUGUCCUGGACACAGUCACAUGACUCGUACAGAAAAUGUCACUGGGAAGACACCAUAAGGCUCAUCUUUUCACGACACAGUGACCUCUGUUAUGGACAUCUUGAUUUCUCUUUGAGAAGCCAUCCCUCCCCCAGUGUGUAUAGUCUAGCAGCCAAGUCCGCCUUGCCUCUGGCCAAGGGCAGCCUGAAACUCAAACAGGGCCCAUCCCUUAUCCCUGGAUGGAAAUCUUGAGCAGAGUGCCUGACGGGACUGAAGAUGGCUGAAAUUCCAGCAAGCAGACAGUGGUUCUCUGAAGAGGCUCCCCUCCGCCCACACCCAUGAGUGUCUGCUCCCCAGAUGCUCCAAUCCUACUUCUCCAGCUUUACCUUCUGUUCCAUAAGCUGCUUCAUUUUCUUUCUCCAAAUCCCUCUUUUGCUGGUUGGACAAAGAUUGUUUCUGUUGCCUGCAAUCAAAUAACCCAAAAGGAUGAACAGGUGAAAUCAUAAACAUACUUUUAAGUGCCUGGAAUAUGCCUGCUUCUGUCCAUCUUUCAACCCACUUGCAUCAGAAGCCCCCUUGGAGGAUGAGAGCCUGUCCUGUGAACCAUGGUGGUUCAGAGUGGAACACAGCAGAGUGUGGAACACCAGGAAUUUAGAGCAAUCAGUGAAAUAUGAUGUAGGCCUCUAUGUCAGAAAAAUUACUAAUAAGCAGUUGAUUAUUAGUAAUCAAUAAUAGCCUUCCCAUUUUAUAUCGAGCACAGCAGUCAGCAUGUUAAAAACAAGGACUGCUGGACACCAGCUGCGAUGAAAUGCUUUAUCAGAGGACGGCCCUUGAUGUCUAUGUCCAUUUGCAAGUGCGGCAUUAAUUACAAGGCUGGUUUAAGUAUAAUCAGUAAGUUUAUAUGCUGGAUGCUCAAGAUGAUUUCUGGCUAAACAUGGAAUUUCUAUUUCUAUUUUCCUUAUGUUAAAAGCCGGAACAGCAAAAUGUAUUCCUAAUGUCACUAUUAUGACAUUUACAUCCCGAAAAGUUGCAGUAACUGAUCAAUACAAUAGUGGAAUGCCUGGAAACCUGUUCCUUUUUUGCUAAAAAAAGGAGGGCACUUUUUAUGUCUUUGAUGUGAAGUUCAUGUUCUUUGACAGUGAUUGAUGGAAUAUGCUACAGAAAAGGCUGAUUACAUUUUACUAGAGAAGUAAAAAAGAAAUGCAGGAGAAUCCCACAGCUCUGGGAUUGAAUGGAAAGCAAAGGAGGAGCUCCUCUAGGGGGCUAUGGGAUGCCUCUGUGUAGCUAUUGAAUCUCUGGGGCCAUGGAUGAGAAUUUGCUUGGUCAGUAGGUCAGCAUUCAAGAGUAUGGGCUGGAUGCAGAGUAAACGACCUGCUGAGAGUAAUGGCCACUGCUUUACUUCUGUCUUCAAAAUCCUGAACAAGCUCCUCUUUUGGCCAACUCUAACCUGGAACCAUGCAGAUUAGGAAGAGAAAGAGAAGUGGAUUGUGAGAAAGAUUUUAGCUUGGUCAAGUUGAUAACGGGAUGAUUCAGAAGAAUGCAACCCUUAUCAACUA